AAGUGUCCAUGCUUUGCCAGGGGUUGCCUGGAGAGCCUUUCACAGCAGUGUGUGAGCAGGACCACUAGGAUACAAGAUUGAUUUAGGGAGUUGUCCAGCACUGAAUAUAUAGAACAGAAGUUCAUUGUGAGUACGAAUGCAGGUGCACUGUGCCAUGGUUCAGGUUUCCUGUGGAAUUCCCACUCUGGAGGAUCUACUUGCCUCCCCAGCAACUAACAUGGAUGACUGAGCUUCUUCUUUCAAAGGCCCACCAGUGGGGGCAGGGUCUGUGUGGGAGACCUAUCUUCAGUGUCCAGGCCAGUGAGUGGCCAUCAGUUGGCAUCAACAGACGGCUGUAGAAUGACUGAACUCUUUUUUCCCUAGAGGAGUCCCAACUGACUCAGUCACCUCCUGGGCUCAGCUGUGCCUUCUGAACUCUCUACUAAGCCAUAUUGCCAUUGGAGACAAGUCCGGAAUCCUGCUGACAGGUGGUUGGCGUGUGGCCAGGAGCCCCACUCCUCUGCAGGGCCAGACCCUCCUGCACAGCCACAUGUGGGCUCAGCUCCAGUUUCCUAAUCUCCGUGGAUACUCAUGGAUACUCAGACACCUGGCAAAGAAACCAGUCUGGAAACCAAAGGAAGAAGCAGAGCUGGGAGCUUCCGGGCCCUCAGGCAAUUGUUAAAGAGAGAAUGAGAAAUGAGCCUCAGCAGUGCUGGGAUUGUUAUUUUGGUUUUGAGCACCACCUGAUUUUUCCUCUACUGGAGGAGAUUGGCAAAGCCAAGUAUCCCUCAAAGUACAAGGCAAGCAACAAAUUUCAUCUCUUUUCUGUAAGGAUAGUGCUAUGGAUUGAAUGUUCUCCCAAAGCUCUUUGAAGCUUGACCCCCAUUGUAAUAGUGCUAAGAACGUAGGAAAUCUGAUUAUGGUAUUUGGAAAGUGGGGCCUUUAAGAGGUGAUUAGAUUGUGAGGACUGUGCCCUCAUGAAUGGAUCAAUCCAUUCAUGGAGUAAUUGGAUGUGGUUCUGAUGGCUUUGUAAGGAGAGCAAAUCAGAAGCUUAGCUCUCAUUGCAGAAUGUGUCCUAUGUUCCUGUUU